rnacentral:rRNA from 1 species
UACGUAGGCAGCGAGCGUUGUUCGGAGUUACUGGGCGGAAAGGGUGUGUAGGCGGUUCUUUAAGUUUGGUGUGAAAUCUCCCGGCUCAACCGGGAGGGUGCGCCGAAUACUGAGGGACUAGAGUACGGGAGAGGAGAGUGGAAUUCCUGGUGUAGCGGUGAAAUGCGUAGAUAUCAGGAGGAACACCGGUGGUGUAGACGGCUUUCUGGACCGUAACUGACGCUGAGACACGAAAGCGUGGGUAGCAAACAGG